GAUGAACGCUGGCGGCGUGCUUAACACAUGCAAGUCGAACGGUGAAGGCGGAGCUUGCUCUGCUGGAUCAGUGGCGAACGGGUGAGUAACACGUGAGCAAUCUGCCCCUGACUCUGGGUUAAGCGCUGGAAACGGCGUCUAAUACUGGAUACGAGCUGCGAAGGCAUCUUCAGCAGCUGGAAAGAACUUCGGUCAGGGAUGAGCUCGCGGCCUAUCAGCUUGUUGGUGAGGUAACGGCUCACCAAGGCGUCGACGGGUAGCCGGCCUGAGAGGGUGACCGGCCACACUGGGACUGAGACACGGCCCAGACUCCUACGGGAGGCAGCAGUGGGGAAUAUUGCACAAUGGGCGAAAGCCUGAUGCAGCAACGCCGCGUGAGGGACGACGGCCUUCGGGUUGUAAACCUCUUUUAGCAGGGAAGAAGCGAAAGUGACGGUACCUGCAGAAAAAGCGCCGGCUAACUACGUG
rnacentral:rRNA from 1 species